rnacentral:rRNA from 1 species
CCUACGGGUGGCAGCAGUAGGGAAUAUUGCUCAAUGGGGGAAACCCUGAUGCAGCAACGCCGCGUGGAGGAAGAAGUAUUUCGGUUUGUAAACUCCUUUUAUCAGAGAAGAAUAUGACGGUAUCUAACGAAUAAGCCCCGGCUAACUCCGUGCCAGCAGCCGCGGUAAUACGUAGGGGGCAAGCGUUACCCGGAUUUACUGGGCGUAAAGGGUGCGUAGGCGGGGUAGUAAGUCAGAAGUGAAAUCCUGUGGCUCAACUACGGAACUGCAUUUGAAACUGUUGCUCUGGAGUGCAGGAGAGGUAAGUGGAAUUCCUGGUGUAGCGGUGAAAUGCGUAGAGAUCAGGAGGAACACUCGUGGCGAAGGCGACUUACUGGAACGUAACUGACGCUGAGGCACGAAAGCGUGGGGAGCAAACAGGAUUAGAUACCCUUGUAGUC